rnacentral:rRNA from 1 species
GAGUUUGAUCGUGGCUCAGGAUGAACGCUGGCGGCGUGCCUAAUACAUGCAAGUCGAGCGAACGGACGAGAAGCUUGCUUCUCUGAUGUUAGCGGCGGACGGGUGAGUAACACGUGGAUAACCUACCUAUAAGACUGGGAUAACUUCGGGAAACCGGAGCUAAUACCGGAUAAUAUUUUGAACCGCAUGGUUCAAAGGUAAAAGACGGUCUUGCUGUCACUUAUAGAUGGAUCCGCGCUGCAUUAGCUAGUUGGUAAGGUAACGGCUUACCAAGGCAACGAUGCAUAGCCGACCUGAGAGGGUGAUCGGCCACACUGGAACUGAGACGCGGUCCAGACUCCUACGGGAGGCAGCAGUAGGGAAUCUUCCGCAAUGGGCGAAAGCCUGACGGAGCAACGCCGCGUGAGUGAUGAAGGUCUUCGGAUCGUAAAAACUCUGUUAUUAGGAAGAACAUAUGUGUAAGUAACUGUGCACAUCUUGACGGUACCUAAAUCAGAAAGCCACGGCUAACU